GGGUUGUGAGGUUAAGCGACUAAGCGUACACGGUGGAUGCCCUGGCAGUCAGAGGCGAUGAAGGACGUGCUAAUCUGCGAAAAGCGUCGGUAAGGUGAUAUGAACCGUUAUAACCGGCGAUGUCCGAAUGGGGAAACCCAGUGCGAUUCGUUGCACUAUCGUUAACUGAAUACAUAGGUUAACGAGGCGAACCGGGGGAACUGAAACAUCUAAGUACCCCGAGGAAAAGAAAUCAACCGAGAUUCCCCCAGUAGCGGCGAGCGAACGGGGAGCAGCCCAGAGUCUGAAUCAGCUUGUGUGUUAGUGGAACGGUCUGGAAAGUCCGACGGUACAGGGUGAUAGUCCCGUACACCAAAAUGCACAGGUUGUGAACUCGAAGAGUAGGGCGGGACACGUGGUAUCCUGUCUGAAUAUGGGGGGACCAUCCUCCAAGGCUAAAUACUCCUGACUGACCGAUAGUGAACCAGUACCGUGAGGGAAAGGCGAAAAGAACCCCGGCGAGGGGAGUGAAAAAGAACCUGAAACCGUGUACGUACAAGCAGUGGGAGCACCUUCGGGUGUGACUGCGUACCUUUUGUAUAAUGGGUCAGCGACUUAUAUUCUGUAGCAAGGUUAACCGUAUAGGGGAGCCGCAGGGAAACCGAGUCUUAACUGGGCGUUAAGUUGCAGGGUAUAGACCCGAAACCCGGUGAUCUAGCCAUGGGCAGGUUGAAGGUUGGGUAACACUAACUGGAGGACCGAACCGACUAAUGUUGAAAAAUUAGCGGAUGACUUGUGGCUGGGGGUGAAAGGCCAAUCAAACCGGGAGAUAGCUGGUUCUCCCCGAAAGCUAUUUAGGUAGCGCCUCGUGAACUCAUCUUCGGGGGUAGAGCACUGUUUCGGCUAGGGGGUCAUCCCGACUUACCAACCCGAUGCAAACUACGAAUACCGAAGAAUGUUAUCACGGGAGACACACGGCGGGUGCUAACGUCCGUCGUGAAGAGGGAAACAACCCAGACCGCCAGCUAAGGUCCCAAAGUCAUGGUUAAGUGGGAAACGAUGUGGGAAGGCACAGACAGCCAGGAUGUUGGCUUAGAAGCAGCCAUCAUUUAAAGAAAGCGUAAUAGCUCACUGGUCGAGUCGGCCUGCGCGGAAGAUGUAACGGGGCUAAACCAUGCACCGAAGCUGCGGCAGCGACACUAUGUGUUGUUGGGUAGGGGAGCGUUCUGUAAGCCUGCGAAGGUGACCUGUGAGGGUUGCUGGAGGUAUCAGAAGUGCGAAUGCUGACAUAAGUAACGAUAAAGCGGGUGAAAAGCCCGCUCGCCGGAAGACCAAGGGUUCCUGUCCAACGUUAAUCGGGGCAGGGUGAGUCGACCCCUAAGGCGAGGCCGAAAGGCGUAGUCGAUGGGAAACAGGUUAAUAUUCCUGUACUUGGUGUUACUGCGAAGGGGGGACGGAGAAGGCUAUGUUAGCCGGGCGACGGUUGUCCCGGUUUAAGCAUGUAGGCUGGUU
rnacentral:rRNA from 1 species